AUACUUACCUGGCAGGGGAGAUACCAUGGUUAUCAAGACGGUUUUCCCAGGGCGAGACUUAUCCACUGCACUUGCAGGUAUUGACUCCUUCAAUUUCCCAAGUGUGGGAAGCUCGACUACAUAAUUUGUAGUAGUUGGGGACAGUGUUUGUGCCCUGCCCGGG